UGCCCAAGAGAUCGGGAUAACACCUGGAAACAGAUGCUAAUACCGGAUAACAACAGAUGAUGCCUAUCAACUGUUUAAAAGAUGGUUCUGCUAUCACUCUUGGAUGGACCUGCGGUGCAUUAGCUAGUUGGUAAGGCAACGGCUUACCAAGGCAAUGAUGCAUAGCCGAGUUGAGAGACUGAUCGGCCACAUUGGGACUGAGACACGGCCCAAACUCCUACGGGAGGCAGCAGCC
rnacentral:rRNA from 1 species